rnacentral:rRNA from 1 species
CACGUAGUUAGCCAGGGCUUCUUACUCAGGUACCGUCAUUUUCUUCCCUGCUGAUAGAGCUUUACAUCACGAAUGACUUCUUCACUCACGCGGCGUUGCUGCAUCAGGGUUUCCCCCAUUGUGCAAUAUUCCCCACUGCUGCCUCCCGUAGGAGUUUGGGCCGUGUCUCAGUCCCAAUGUGGCCGUUCACCCUCUCAGGCCGGCUACUGAUCGUCGCCUUGGUGGGCUUCUACCCCGCCAACCAGCUAAUCAGACGCGGAUCCAUCUUACACCACCGGAGUUUUUCACACUGAGCCAUGCGGCUCCGUGCGCUUAUGCGGUAUUAGCACCUAUUUCUAAGUGUUAUCCCCCAGUGCAAGGCAGGUUAUCCAGCGUUACUCACCCGUCCGCCACUAAGUUACGAAUCACUAGGUUUCAUCGUAACUCCGUUCGACUUGCAUGUGUUAGGCACGCCGCCAGCGUUCAUCCUGAGCCAGGAUCAAACUCU